AGUGAACGCUGGCGGUAGGCCUAACACAUGCAAGUCGAACGGCAGCACAGUAAGAGCUUGCUCUUACGGGUGGCGAGUGGCGGACGGGCGAGGAAUACAUCGGAAUCUACUUUUUCGUGGGGGAUAACGUAGGGAAACUUACGCUAAUACCGCAUACGACCUACGGGUGAAAGCAGGGGAUCUUCGGACCUUGCGCGAUAGAAUGAGCCGAUGUCGGAUUAGCUAGUUGGCGGGGUAAAGGCCCACCAAGGCGACGAUCCGUAGCUGGUCUGAGAGGAUGAUCAGCCACACUGGAACUGAGACACGGUCCAGACUCCUACGGGAGGCAGCAGUGGGGAAUAUUGGACAAUGGGCGCAAGCCUGAUCCAGCCAUACCGCGUGGGUGAAGAAGGCCUUCGGGUUGUAAAGCCCUUUUGUUGGGAAAGAAAAGCAGCAGGUUAAUACCCCGCUGUUCUGACGGUACCCAAAGAAUAAGCACCGGCUAACUUCGUG
rnacentral:rRNA from 1 species